CCUACGGGUGGCAGCAGUGGGGAAUAUUGCACAAUGGGCGAAAGCCUGAUGCAGCAACGCCGCGUGAAGGAAGAAGGGUUUCGGCUCGUAAACUUCUAUCAACAGGGACGAAAGACAUGACGGUACCUGAAUACUACGCCCCGGCUAACUACGUGCCAGCAGCCGCGGUAAUACGUAGGGGGCAAGCGUUAUCCGGAAUUACUGGGUGUAAAGGGUGGGUAGGCGGCAUGGUAAGCCAGAUGUGAAAGCCUUGGGCUUAACCCGAGGAUUGCAUUUGGAACUAUCAAGCUGGAGUGCGGGAGAGGAAAGCGGAAUUCCUGGUGUAGCGGUGAAAUGCGUAGAUAUUAGGAAGAACACCAGUGGCGAAGGCGGCUUGCUGGACUGAAACUGACGCUGAGGCGCGAAAGCGUGGGGAGCGAACAGGAUUAGAUACCCGUGUAGUC
rnacentral:rRNA from 1 species